rnacentral:rRNA from 1 species
AACGCUAGCUACAGGCUUAACACAUGCAAGUCGAGGGGCAGCAUGAACUUAGCUUGCUAAGUUUGAUGGCGACCGGCGCACGGGUGAGUAACACGUAUCCAACCUGCCGAUGACUCGGGGAUAACCUUUCGAAAGAAAGAUUAAUACCCGAUGGCAUAGUUCUUCCGCAUGGUGGAACUAUUAAAGAAUUUCGGUCAUCGAUGGGGAUGCGUUCCAUUAGGUUGUUGGCGGGGUAACGGCCCACCAAGCCUUCGAUGGAUAGGGGUUCUGAGAGGAAGGUCCCCCACAUUGGAACUGAGACACGGUCCAAACUCCUACGGGAGGCAGCAGUGAGGAAUAUUGGUCAAUGGACGAGAGUCUGAACCAGCCAAGUAGCGUGAAGGAUGACUGCCCUAUGGGUUGUAAACUUCUUUUAUACGGGAAUAAAGUGAGGCACGUGUGCCUUUUUGUAUGUACCGUAUGAAUAAGGAUCGGCUAACUCCGUGCCAGCAGCCGCGGUAAUACGGAAGGUCCAGGCGUUAUCCGGAUUUAUUGGGUUUAAAGGGAGCGUAGGCCGCAAGUCAAGCGUGUUGUGAAAUGCAGGGGCUCAACCUCUGGAUUGCAGCGCGAACUGGCAUGCUUGAGUACGCACGAGGUAGGCGGAAUUUGUGGUGUAGCGGUGAAAUGCUUAGAUAUCACGAAGAACUCCGAUUG